rnacentral:misc_RNA from 1 species
GAUGAAGAACGCAGCGAAAUGCGAUAAGUAAUGUGAAUUGCAGAAUUCAGUGAAUCAUCGAAUCUUUGAACGCACAUUGCGCCCCCUGGUAUUCCGGGGGGCAUGCCUGUCCGAGCGUCAUUACAACCCUCAAGCUCAGCUUGGUGUUGGGCCCCGCCGCCCCGGCGGGCCCUAAAGUCAGUGGCGGUGCCGUCCGGCUCCGAGCGUAGUAAUUCUUCUCGCUCUGGAGGUCCGGUCGUGUGCUCGCCAGCAACCCCCAAUUUUUUUCAGGUUGACCUAGGAUCAGGUAGGGAUACCCGCUGAACUUAAGCAUAUCAAUAAGCGGAGGA